UGGACCGGGGGCUCAGCAGUAUGCAGGCGGCGUGCCCGCGUCCCUCCUCCCCAUAGGCUGGAAGGAGCCUUAACCAUGUGUCUGCAGGAGGCUGACAAAUCAGAAGGCCUUCCAGUACAUCAGAGCCCCGCUGCCUAGCAACCCCAUCGGAGGGGUGUAGUUGACAGCACAGGACGCCCACCCCCACGGACCACACUGGCCUCUUCUCUCUAAGCACCACUUCAAAAUAUUAGUCUUCAUUUCCCUAAAACCAUCUCUUCG
rnacentral:lncRNA from 1 species